UGCAGUCGAGCGGUAGAGAGAAGCUUGCUUCUUUUGAGAGCGGCGGACGGGUGAGUAAUGCCUAGGAAUCUGCCUGGUAGUGGGGGGAUAACGUUCGGAAACGGACGCUAAUACCGCAUACGUCCUACGGGAGAAAGCAGGGGACCUUCGGGCCUUGCGCUAUCAGAUGAGCCUAGGUCGGAUUAGCUAGUUGGUGAGGUAAUGGCUCACCAAGGCUACGAUCCGUAACUGGUCUGAGAGGAUGAUCAGUCACACUGGAACUGAGACACGGUCCAGACUCCUACGGGAGGCAGCAGUGGGGAAUAUUGGACAAUGGGCGAAAGCCUGAUCCAGCCAUGCCGCGUGUGUGAAGAAGGUCUUCGGAUUGUAAAGCACUUUAAGUUGGGAGGAAGGGCAGUUACCUAAUACGUGAUUGUUUUGACGUUACCGACAGAAUAAGCACCGGCUAACUCUGUGCCAGCAGCCGCGGUAAU
rnacentral:rRNA from 1 species